UGCCGUGGCUUAGCCUAAGAGGCUUGAAUAAUCAGUAUGUUAAGCUGUCAGGGUGCGUGCGCUCGCACCUACCACGCGUUUACAAACUCCCGGGCGCUUUUUAAUCAAGCGAAAACGCUGAGAGGCAGCGGCGACUGCCAAGAGCCCGGGCCGAGAGACGAGCUUUAGAAUAUCCGUUACACUUUCUCCUGACAUCACCAGACGUGCGUUUUCACUUUAAGCUCUUCUUCUUCUUCUUCUUCUUCUUCAAAGAGGCGUCGACCCACUGCACUACAUGAUGGUGGAAUCAGGACAUGUAAACUCCUCACAGAAGGGCCGACUUCCAUCCCUUCACUCACUGGGUUUAUCAUUCAUAAAGUUGUGUUAUUCAUUUUUACCUUCGCAUUAAAAAUGCGGAAGUUUAUGUUUUGAUCGCUGUGUAUUUGUUUGUGUGUUAUUCGCAUAACUCAAACAGUAUUAAACCGAAUCGCAUGGAA